ACUCCUACGGGAGGCAGCAGUGGGAAUAUUGCACAAUGGGGAAAGCCCUCGAUGCAGCCAUGCCGCGUGUGUGAAGAAGGCCUUCGGGUUGUAAAGCACUUUCAGAGGGAGAAGGUAGUGUAGUUAACACCUGCAUUAUUUGACGUUACCUACAGAAGAAGCACCGGCUAACUCCGUGCCAGCAGCCGCGGUAAUACGGAGGGUGCGAGCGUUAAUCGGAAUUACUGGGCGUAAAGCGCAUGCAGGCGGCCUGUUAAGUCAGAUGUGAAAGCCCGGGGCUUAACCUCGGAAUUGCAUUUGAAACUGGCAGGCUAGAGUCUUGUAGAGGGGGUGGAAUUUCAGGUGUAGCGGUGAAAUGCGUAGAGAUCUGAAGGAAUACCAGUGGCGAAGGCGG
rnacentral:rRNA from 1 species